rnacentral:rRNA from 1 species
AUUGAACGCUGGCGGCAUGCCUUACACAUGCAAGUCGAACGGCAGCACGGGUGCUUGCACCUGGUGGCGAGUGGCGAACGGGUGAGCAAUACAUCGGAAUGUACCUUGUAGUGGGGAUAGCUCGGCGAAAGCCGGAUUAAUACCGCAUACGCUCUGAGGAGGAAAGCGGGGACCUUCGGGCCUCGUGCUACAAGAGCAGCCGAUGUCAGAUUAGCUUGUUGGUGAGGUAAAGCUCACCAAGGCGACGAUCUGUAGCUGGUCUGAGAGGACGACCAGCCACACUGGGACUGAGACACGGCCCAGACUCCUACGGGAGGCAGCAGUGGGGAAUUUUGGACAAUGGGCGAAAGCCUGAUCCAGCAAUGCCG